rnacentral:rRNA from 1 species
GUCUACAGCCAUGCCACCCUGAACAAGCCUGAUUCCAUCUGAUCUCAGAAGCUAAGCAGGUUCAGGCCUGGUUAGUACUUGGAUGGGAGACCACUUAGGAAGACCAGGUUCUGAAAGUG